GGGUCAGUAGGUUGGUCGUGCCACCGGUACGUACUGGUCUCACUGAUUCCUCCUUCCUGAAGAACCGUAAUGCCAUUAAUUUGGUGUUGCGGGGAAACAGGACUGUUGCUUUGAAAAAAUUAGAGUGUUUAAAGCAAGCUAACGCUUGAAUACAUUAGCAUGGAAUAAUGAAAUAGGACGAUCGAUCCUAUUUUGUUGGUUUCUAGGAUUGACGUA
rnacentral:rRNA from 1 species